GCGUAAUAGCUCACUGGUCGAGUCGGCCUGCGCGGAAGAUGUAACGGGGCUAAACCAUGCACCGAAGCUGCGGCAGCGACACUAUGUGUUGUUGGGUAGGGGAGCGUUCUGUAAGCCUGCGAAGGUGACCUGUGAGGGUUGCUGGAGGUAUCAGAAGUGCGAAUGCUGACAUAAGUAACGAUAAAGCGGGUGAAAAGCCCGCUCGCCGGAAGACCAAGGGUUCCUGUCCAACGUUAAUCGGGGCAGGGUGAGUCGACCCCUAAGGCGAGGCCGAAAGGCGUAGUCGAUGGGAAACAGGUUAAUAUUCCUGUACUUGGUGUUACUGCGAAGGGGGGACGGAGAAGGCUAUGUUAGCCGGGCGACGGUUGUCCCGGUUUAAGCAUGUAGGCUGAUUGUCCAGGCAAAUCCGGAUAAUCAAGGCUGAGGUGUGAUGACGAGGCACUACGGUGCUGAAGUAACAAAUGCCCUGCUUCCAGGAAAAGCCUCUAAGCAUCAGGUAACAUCAAAUCGUACCCCAAACCGACACAGGUGGUCAGGUAGAGAAUACCAAGGCGCUUGAGAGAACUCGGGUGAAGGAACUAGGCAAAAUGGUGCCGUAACUUCGGGAGAAGGCACGCUGGUGUGUAGGUGAAG
rnacentral:rRNA from 1 species